rnacentral:rRNA from 1 species
UAGCCGUAAACGAUACUCGCUAGGUGUCGGCCACGGUGCGACCGUUGUCGGUGCCGUAGGGAAGCCGUGAAGCGAGCCACCUGGGAAGUACGGCCGCAAGGCUGAAACUUAAAGGAAUUGGCGGGGGAGGCACCACAACGGGUGGAGCCUGCGGUUUAAUUGGACUCAACGCCGGGAAGCUCACCGGAUAAGACAGCGGAAUGAUUGCCGGGCUGAAGACCCUGCAUGACCAGCUGAGAGGAGGUGCAUGGCGUAGUCGUGU